rnacentral:sRNA from 1 species
UGAAAAAAUCUGUUUAGAAGCACGCGGAUCCUUUUUAUCCGAUUUUUAAAAGUCGGAUACUCGCGUCUAAUCCUGGCCAUUAAAUUGAAUUGUUAUUAGCCGUUAGAUUUUGUAGUUUUAUUUUGAAUUAUCAUACAUUUUAAAUACGAUCCUCAUUUUUAAAUAACUACUUUUACGGUAAAAGCUAAACAUUCUCCUAUAAUUAUGAGAUUCAUCUUAUUCACUAAACUUGAAUUCCACGAAAAAAUAUUUUGCGCAUA